CGGAGGGUGCGAGCGUUGUCCGGAAUCACUGGGCGUAAAGGGCGCGUAGGCGGCCUGAUAAGUAGGGGGUGAAAUCCUGCGGCUUAACCGCAGGGCUGCCUUCUAAACUGUCGGGCUUGAGCACAGUAGAGGCAGGUGGAAUUCCCGGUGUAGCGGUGGAAUGCGUAGAGAUCGGGAAGAACAUCAGUGGCGAAGGCGGCCUGCUGGGCUGUUGCUGACGCUGAGGCGCGACAGCGUGGGGAGCAAACAGGAUUAGAUACCCUGGUAGUCCACGCCGUAAACGAUGGGCACUAGGCGUCGGGGGGAGCGACCCUCCCGGUGCCGUCGCUAACGCAGUAAGUGCCCCGCCUGGGGAGUACGGCCGCAAGGCCG
rnacentral:rRNA from 1 species